rnacentral:ncRNA from 2 species
AAUGCCUGCGGGAAUGAGGUUCUCCCUAAGCCGUUUCAAGGCUUGAACCGCGUAAAGCUGAUGACUUCUGCAAACGG